rnacentral:rRNA from 1 species
UCCCUACGGGGAUGCAGCAGUAGGGAAUCUUCGGCAAUGGGGGCAACCCUGACCGAGCAACGCCGCGUGAGUGAAGAAGGUUUUCGGAUCGUAAAGCUCUGUUGUAAGUCAAGAACGGGUGUGAGAGUGGAAAGUUCACACUGUGACGGUAGCUUACCAGAAAGGGACGGCUAACUACGUGCCAGCAGCCGCGGUAAUACGUAGGUCCCGAGCGUUGUCCGGAUUUAUUGGGCGUAAAGCGAGCGCAGGCGGUUUGAUAAGUCUGAAGUUAAAGGCUGUGGCUCAACCAUAGUUCGCUUUGGAAACUGUCAAACUUGAGUGCAGAAGGGGAGAGUGGAAUUCCAUGUGUAGCGGUGAAAUGCGUAGAUAUAUGGAGGAACACCGGUGGCGAAAGCGGCUCUCUGGUCUGUAACUGACGCUGAGGCUCGAAAGCGUGGGGAGCGAACAGGAUUAGAUACCCUGGUAGUCCACGCCGUAAACGAUGAGUGCUAGGUGUUGGAUCCUUUCCGGGAUUCAGUGCCGCAGCUAACGCAUUAAGCACUCCGCCUGGGAGUCGCCCCCCCCCG